UGCCCACGUAGUACAACGGUUAGUAUAGGGCCCUGUCGAGGCUCUGACCCGGGUUCAACUCCCGGCGUGGGCGAC
rnacentral:tRNA from 1 species